UACGGAGGGUGCAAGCGUUGUCCGGAUUUAUUGGGUUUAAAGGGUGCGUAGGCGGGGUAAUAAGUCAGUGGUGAAAGCCCACAGCUCAACUGUGGAACUGCCAUUGAAACUGUUACUCUUGAGUACGGAUGAGGUAAGCGGAAUUUAUGGUGUAGCGGUGAAAUGCAUAGAUACCAUAAAGAACACCGAUAGCGAAGGCAGCUUACCGGGCCGUAACUGACGCUGAGGCACGAAAGCGUGGGGAGCGAACAGG
rnacentral:misc_RNA from 1 species